UGGGGAAUUUUGGACAAUGGGCGAAAGCCUGAUCCAGCAAUGCCGCGUGUGUGAAGAAGGCCUUCGGGUUGUAAAGCACUUUUGUCCGGAAAGAAAUCCUUGGCUCUAAUACAGUCGGGGGAUGACGGUACCGGAAGAAUAAGCACCGGCUAACUACGUGCCAGCAGCCGCGGUAAUACGUAGGGUGCAAGCGUUAAUCGGAAUUACUGGGCGUAAAGCGUGCGCAGGCGGUUUGCUAAGACCGAUGUGAAAUCCCCGGGCUCAACCUGGGAACUGCAUUGGUGACUGGCAGGCUAGAGUAUGGCAGAGGGGGGUAGAAUUCCACGUGUAGCAGUGAAAUGCGUAGAGAUGUGGAGGAAUACCGAUGGCGAAGGCAGCCCCCUGGGCCAAUACUGACGCUCAUGCACGAAAGCGUGGGGAGCAAACAGGAUUAGAUACCCUGGUAGUCCACGCCCUAAACGAUGUCAACUAGUUGUUGGGGACUCAUUUCCUUAGUAACGUAGCUAACGCGUGAAGUUGACCGCCUGGGGAGUACGGUCGCAAGAUU
rnacentral:rRNA from 1 species